rnacentral:rRNA from 2 species
GAUGAACGCUAGCUACAGGCUUAACACAUGCAAGUCGAGGGGCAGCAUGAACUUAGCUUGCUAAGUUUGAUGGCGACCGGCGCACGGGUGAGUAACACGUAUCCAACCUUCCGUUUACUCAGGGAUAGCCUUUCGAAAGAAAGAUUAAUACCUGAUAGUAUGGUGAGAUUGCAUGAUAGCACCAUUAAAGAUUUAUUGGUAAACGAUGGGGAUGCGUUCCAUUAGGUAGUAGGCGGGGUAACGGCCCACCUAGCCGACGAUGGAUAGGGGUUCUGAGAGGAAGGUCCCCCACAUUGGAACUGAGACACGGUCCAAACUCCUACGGGAGGCAGCAGUGAGGAAUAUUGGUCAAUGGGCGAGAGCCUGAACCAGCCAAGUAGCGUGAAGGAUGAAGGUCCUACGGAUUGUAAACUUCUUUUAUACGGGAAUAAAGUAUCCUACGUGUAGGAUUUUGUAUGUACCGUAUGAAUAAGCAUCGGCUAACUCCGUG